rnacentral:rRNA from 1 species
GAUGAACGCUAGCGGCAGGCUUAACACAUGCAAGUCGAGGGGCAGCGCGGGAUAGCAAUAUCCUGGCGGCGACCGGCGGAAGGGUGCGUAACGCGUGAGCGACAUGCCCGUUGCCCGGGGACAACCGGUGGAAACGCCGACUAAUCCCCGAUGGGAUAUUGUGCCGCAUGGCACGAUAUUGAAAGUUACGGCGGCGACGGAUUGGCUCGCGUCCGAUUAGCUUGUUGGCGGGGUAACGGCCCACCAAGGCUGCGAUCGGUAGGGGUUCUGAGAGGAAGGCCCCCCACAAUGGGACUGAGACACGGCCCAUACGCCUACGGGAGGCAGCAGUGAGGAAUAUUGGUCAAUGGGCGGAAGCCUGAACCAGCCAUGCCGCGUGCGGGAAGGAGGCCCUAUGGGCUGUGAACCGCUUUUGCCUGGGGGCAAUAAGGGCGUCGCGCACGUCCGAUGAGAGUACCAGGCGAAUAAGCAUCGGCUAACUCCGUG